rnacentral:rRNA from 1 species
UGGUGAGGUGACUUGUCUGCCUAAUCGCGAUAACGAACGAGACCUUAACCUGCUAAAUAGCCCGCGCCGCCUUGGCGGCGUGCCGGCUUCUUAGAGGGACUAUCGGUGCAAGCCGAUGGAAGUUUGAGGCAAUAACA